AUUUGGCAGAGCUGGCGCCUCGGAAAUCCCGGGCUCUGAAGCUGGGUGUGGUGGUGCGGGACUUUUAACCCAGCACUCUGGAGGCAUAGGGUGAAAUACUUGGGUUUAUGGUCAGUGUCUGCUGAGGUUUGGUUCCAGAGGAUGGCUUUAGUGAGAACUCAAGUUAAUGUGCAGUUGUAUACUGGGAGAGGGAAGCGCCAUGCAGAUCUGAAUCCCACCACUCCUGUAGAGCAGCCUCUUCCAAUGCCCCAGGCAGCAAAUAAUGACAAGUAUAUCCAGAGAAAUAACUGGCAAAGAACACUGCAGAUUUUAUUUGUACAAUC